AACAAGAAGCUGUUUCCCAGGUGAUUGUCUCCACUCCAUUCCCUGUCCAGAAUGAUUCUCCAUUUGAAUUCUCAAAAUCCCAGUGACCCCUCCAUGCAACAGGAGGAGGUGUGAGGCCAGAAGGGUAACUCAGUGGCCCUAAAUUGUCAGACAAAGCAGGAAACAGAAGAUCCUCAUACCUGGGCCCUAGAAGAAGGAAAGGAAAGGAAAGGAUUCAAGACAAAAUGAUGAAAAUGUUACAAAUAUUCCUCUAUGUGUGGAGCAGUUGUAAUCCUAGAAAUACAGAAAAAUUUUCUUUUUUCCUUCACUUUGCAUUACACAUUUUCUCUUUUUGUCUUGCAGAGAAGAAAUCCGUAAGUCCAUCUGCCAGCCCAGUUGUUUGCUAUCAGUCCAACCGUGAUGAGCUCCGACGUCGCAUCAUCCAGUGGCUGGAAGCUGAGAUCAUUCCAGAUGGCUGGUUCUCUAGAGGCAGCAACUACAGUGAAAUCCUAGACAAGUAUUUUAAGAACUUUGAUAAUGGUGACUCUCGCCUGGACUCCAGUGAAUUCCUGAAGUUUGUGGAACAGAAUGAAACUGCCAUCAA
rnacentral:sRNA from 1 species